UACAGAGGGUGCGAGCGUUGUUCGGAAUUAUUGGGCGUAAAGGGCGCGUAGGCGGUGCGGUAAGUCACCUGUGAAAUCUCCUGGCUCAACUGGGAGCUUGCAGGCGAAACUGCCGUGCUGGAGUGUGGGAGAGGUGCGUGGAAUUCCGGUGUAGCGGUGAAAUGCGUAGAUAUCGGGAGGAACACCUGUGGCGAAAGCGGCGCACCGGACCACAACUGACGCUGAGGCGCGAAAGCUAGGGGAGCAAACGGG
rnacentral:rRNA from 1 species